AGAAUCAACGCUGGCGGCGUGCCUAACACAUGCAAGUCGCACGAGAAAGGGACUUCGGUCCUGAGUAAAGUGGCGCACGGGUGAGUAACGCGUGAAUCAUCUACCUCCGAGUGGGGAAUAACCUAGAGAAAUCUGGGCUAAUACCGCAUAACACUUACGAGUCAAAGCAGCAAUGCGCUUGGAGAGGAGUUCGCGGCAGAUUAGUUAGUUGGCGGGGUAAUGGCCCACCAAGACGAUGAUCUGUA
rnacentral:rRNA from 1 species